GGCGCGGCUGUCGCGUCGGACCCGGGUGACGGCGCUUCGGAGGCGGCGGUCGAGCAGGCCAAGCGCCGGGCGAAAGCGAUCGAUCCGCUGGCCGCGGUG
rnacentral:tRNA from 1 species